rnacentral:lncRNA from 1 species
UGUAAUAAUCGAUUAUCAUACGUAAAUAAUCGAUUAUCAUAUGUGAUAAUCGAUUAUUGUUGUCAGGAAAGCAUCCAGGACAGUUUUGAGUGGUUUUAGGGGUUCCGGGUAUCAUUUCUGGACGUUCCUUAGGUCGUUCUGGGGGUUUUNGACCCUUCCGGAGCCAAUGGUGUGGGUUUCCAAGCUAUUUGAAUUACCUAAGUAUUGGUAAUUUAAGAUUACAAAGAUGUUUGUAUUAAUAAGUGAUGUUUUUCUNAAAAUAUGUGAUUCUUGUUUCCUCUUCUUCCUUGUGUGAUGAUUCAUGUAUGAUUUGUUACUUGUGUUGUAUAAUUCCUUUUAGUAUGGUAUGACUUAACUAAGUAAGAUGUGUAUUGCAAUUGAAUCAAUCUAACAUCAAAAUGUCUAACAAUUAAGAAAUCAAAGUAAGUGAAGUUGGUAUCGUUUGAAAGGUGAAUCAAAGAGUUAAGUAUCCAUAUCUCUAGGUGAGAUCAUUGUUAAUGUUGAGAAUAAAUAUAGGAAGCUCAAUCUUGGGUGUCUCCAUUUUAUAUGGGCCAAGAAUGAGUGAUUCAAGUUAAGUUCUGGAAUGAAUAUAGGUAGCUCAGUCUUGGGGGUUGCCCUUAAAGCUCUAAUGACUAUUCAAUCUCACUUAGAGAAGAGUGGUUCAUGUGGUGAAGAGCAGUAGGGGUCCUAGUCUUGGUUGUCUCCAUUGUAUAUGGGCCAAGGUGAGUGAUAACGGAUAACCUUGUGUGUGGUAGGGUGAAACCCAUUGGCAAUGGCUUUGCAAAGCAGUAGAGGCCAUCACAAGUGCAUAACCCGCCAUAGCUCGAUAUUCAUUCCGGGUCCGGACGAGUCUAAGUCUAACACCACUUAAUAAAACCACAACUCAUAACUUAAUUAAAUUGUUCUUCUAUGCUUGUAAUUCUAGUAUGCCUCUUUUAGUUUGAUAAUCUCCUUGUUAACCUGUUUCCUUUUGAAAUCUAGCUUACCCUUGCUUUGUUUGCUGCCUGUUUUGUAUGUGCUUGUUUUCUCUUGCAAUGAUCAUCCAUAAUGGAUGUGAGCAGAGGCAGGAGAGGCCCCUCUGGAGCAGACUCUAGAUGUCCCAGACGUUCCAGAUACUGCAGAUGCUGCAGAGUAGUAUAGUUUAGUUAUUAUCUAUUGUAUAUAACUUGGUCUUCUUUCCUUUUCUUCUUUUUGAAAGACUCUAUGACCAUAUGUAGAGCUUUUACAUUCCAUUUUGGAUGAUUGUAUUAUAUAUGCUUCAUCUGACUCUACUCUUGACUGCUUUACUUUAUUACAUAUGAUGCAUUCCACUUAAUAUGAUUUAUACAUAUAUUUUUGGGAUGUUACCACAUGUGACACCCGGGCACUGACGAGGGCGGGGAGUGAUCGCCGGUGCAAGAGGCAUGGUGCAGGGGGCACGGACAAGGAGCGGCUCCUGGCAGGCUUCGAGUGGAAGGGGCACAUGGACGAAUCGAACAUACACCGAAAUGAGAGGGAUCUGGAGACUGUAUAGGUAUGGGACUAUACAGUUGAAAGAUAGCUUAAAGGAAUUGAUUUGGCUACCCAUAUCACCAAAAUGCAUUUACUUUUCGGUAGCCUAACCCUUAAGAACUCCAUGGUUAAGCGUGCUUAGCCUGGAGUAAUUCUGGGAUGGGUGACCUUCCGGAAAGUUUUCCCAGAAAGUGUGCGAGUGAGGACAAAGCACACUGGAAAGUCUCGUGGUGAUUUGUUAUAAAUAUGUUCACCAAUAAUAAUUAUAAUUUAUCACUAGAUCUUUUCAUGAUGAAAAU